rnacentral:rRNA from 1 species
AUCUGCCCUUAGGUCGGGGACAACAGUUGGAAACGACUGCUAAUACCGGAUGAGCUGAAAAGUAAAAGAUUUAUCGCCUAGGGAAGAGCUCGCGGCUGAUUAGCUAGUUGGUGAUGUAAGAGAUCACCAAGGCAACGAUCAGUAGCUGGUCUGAGAGGAUGAGCAGCCACACUGGGACUGAGACACGGCCCAGACUCCUACGGGAGGCAGCAGUGGGGAAUUUUCCGCAAUGGGCGAAAGCCUGACGGAGCAAUACCGCGUGAGGGAGGAAGGCUCUUGGGUUGUAAACCUCAAAACUCAGGGAAGAAGAAAGUGACGGUACCUGAUAUAAGCAUCGGCUAACUCCGUGCCAGCAGCCGCGGUAAUACGGAGGAUGCAAGCGUUAUCCGGAAUCAUUGGGCGUAAAGCGUCCGUAGGUGGCAUUUCAAGUCCGCAUUCAAAGACCGAGGCUCAACCUCGGGUAGGGUGUGGAAACUGAAAAGCUAGAGUACAGGAGGGGUAGAGGGAAUUCCUAGUGUAGCGGUGAAAUGCGUAGAGAUUAGGAAGAACACCAGUGGCGAAGGCGCUCUACUGGACAUGUACUGACACUGAGGGACGAAAGCUAGGGUAG